AUGAUGAACUCUAGCACCGUGUCCCCCGCGUGGCCUUCUAUCAGUAUCAGAGCAGUUGGAGGAGGAACAUCGAGCACACCACUCCGUCCACCUCGGCCACGGGUGCUGCGGCGACCUCGUCCAUGCCUCGCAGCUCCACCUUGUGCACUAGACCCAGCCUCUGGAGCUGCAGUGGAGGCAGGAGCGGGGUGUCAAGAAGAAGCUCUCAUCGCUACCAUCAGAGCACAAGCUCGUCCUCUCCCCCUUGGCAUGGUGGAAAUAGAAGCAAAGAAGGAGAAGGAAGAGAUGGUGGAUGAGGAUCGCCACCCUCUCACGCCUCCUUUUAUAGUGGAGUAA
rnacentral:rRNA from 1 species